GGCGAACGGGUGAGUAAUGCAUCGGAACGUGUCCUGUUGUGGGGGAUAACUGAUCGAAAGAUCAGCUAAUACCGCAUGAGACCUGAGGGUGAAAGCGGGGGAUCGCAAGACCUCGCGCGACAGGAGCGGCCGAUGUCUGAUUAGCUAGUUGGUGAGAUAAAAGCUUACCAAGGCGACGAUCAGUAGCUGGUCUGAGAGGAUGAUCAGCCACAUUGGGACUGAGACACGGCCCAGACUCC
rnacentral:rRNA from 1 species